UACGGAGGGUGCAAGCGUUGUCCGGAAUCACUGGGCGUAAAGGGCGCGUAGGCGGCUCAUGAAGGCUGUGGUGAAAGUCCGGGGCUCAACCUCGGAUCGGCCGUGGCGACUCGUGGGCUGGAGCACUGUAGAGGCGGGUGGAAUUCCGGGUGUAGCGGUGGAAUGCGUAGAGAUCCGGAAGAACACCAGUGGCGAAGGCGGCCCACUGGGCCGGUGCUGACGCUGAGGCGCGAAGGCGUGGGGAG
rnacentral:rRNA from 1 species